rnacentral:lncRNA from 1 species
UAGGGGAAUGGAGAAAGUCUUUUGAAGAUCUGGUGGGAAGGCAGACCUGACAAGGAUCCGUGCCUGUGUGCUGAGGGCAGCCACCAGAUUUCCCUUCUCCAGAGGCAAAUGCAAUCCUGACAAUUAGUUAUUGACGGGACAAAUACAUCCUGCA